GUCGAGCGGCAGCGACAACAUUGAACCUUCGGGUGAUUUGUUGGGCGGCGAGCGGCGGACGGGUGAGUAAUGCCUGGGAAUAUGCCUUAGUGUGGGGGAUAACUAUUGGAAACGAUAGCUAAUACCGCAUAACGUCUUCGGACCAAAGAGGGGGACCUUCGGGCCUCUCGCGCUAAGAUUAGCCCAGGUGGGAUUAGCUAGUUGGUGAGGUAAUGGCUCACCAAGGCGACGAUCCCUAGCUGGUUUGAGAGGAUGAUCAGCCACACUGGAACUGAGACACGGUCCAGACUCCUACGGGAGGCAGCAGUGGGGAAUAUUGCACAAUGGGGGAAACCCUGAUGCAGCCAUGCCGCGUGUAUGAAGAAGGCCUUCGGGUUGUAAAGUACUUUCAGUCGUGAGGAAGGGGUAAUCAUUAAUAGUGGUURCCUUUGACGUUAGCGACAGAAGAAGCACCGGCUAACUCCGUGCCAGCAGCCGCGGUAAUACGGAGGGUGCGAGCGUUAAUCGGAAUUACUGGGCGUAAAGCGCAUGCAGGCGGUCUGUUAAGCAAGAUGUGAAAGCCCGGGGCUCAACCUCGGAACCGCAUUUUGAACUGGCAGACUAGAGUCUUGUAGAGGGGGGUAGAAUUUCAGGUGUAGCGGUGAAAUGCGUAGAGAUCUGAAGGAAUACCGGUGGCGAAGGCGGCCCCCUGGACAAAGACUGACGCUCAGAUGCGAAAGCGUGGGGAGCAAACAGGAUUAGAUACCCUGGUAGUCCACGCCGUAAACGAUGUCUACUUGGAGGCUGUUCCCUUGAGGAGUGGCUUUCGGAGCUAACGCGUUAAGUAGACCGCCUGGGGAGUACGGUCGCAAGAUUAAAACUCAAAUGAAUU
rnacentral:rRNA from 1 species